rnacentral:rRNA from 1 species
AUUGAACGCUGGCGGCAUGCCUUACACAUGCAAGUCGAACGGUAACAGGUCUUCGGAUGCUGACGAGUGGCGAACGGGUGAGUAAUACAUCGGAACGUGCCCGAGAGUGGGGGAUAACGAAGCGAAAGCUAUGCUAAUACCGCAUACGAUCUCAGGAUGAAAGCAGGGGACCGCAAGGCCUUGCGCUCACGGAGCGGCCGAUGGCAGAUUAGGUAGUUGGUGGGAUAAAAGCUUACCAAGCCGACGAUCUGUAGCUGGUCUGAGAGGACGACCAGCCACACUGGGACUGAGACACGGCCCAGACUCCUACGGGAGGCAGCAGUGGGGAAUUUUGGACAAUGGGCCCAAGCCUGAUCCAGCCAUGCCGCGUGCAGGAUGAAGGCCUUCGGGUUGUAAACUGCUUUUGUACGGAACGAAAAGACUCUGGUUAAUACCUGGGGUCCAUGACGGUACCGUAAGAAUAAGCACCGGCUAACUACGUGCCAGCAGCCGCGGUAA